GCUCCGUUGGUGAACCAGCGGAGGGAUCAUUACCGAGUUUACAACUCCCAAACCCAGUGUGAACCAUACCAAACUGUUGCCUCGGCGGGGUCACGCCCCGGGUGCGUCGCAGCCCCGGAACCAGGCGCCCGCCGGAGGGACCAACCAAACUCUUUCUGUAGUCCCCUCGCGGACGUUAUUUUUACAGCUCUGAGCAAAAAUUCAAAAUGAAUCAAAACUUUCAACAACGGAUCUCUUGGUUCUG
rnacentral:misc_RNA from 1 species